rnacentral:rRNA from 1 species
UCGAACGGUAACAUUUCUAGCUUGCUAGAAGAUGACGAGUGGCGGACGGGUGAGUAAUGCUUGGGAACUUGCCUUUGCGAGGGGGAUAACAGUUGGAAACGACUGCUAAUACCGCAUAAUGUCUUCGGACCAAACGGGGCUUCGGCUCCGGCGCAAAGAGAGGCCCAAGUGAGAUUAGCUAGUUGGUAAGGUAACGGCUUACCAAGGCGACGAUCUCUAGCUGUUCUGAGAGGAAGAUCAGCCACACUGGGACUGAGACACGGCCCAGACUCCUACGGGAGGCAGCAGUGGGGAAUAUUGCACAAUGGGGGAAACCCUGAUGCAGCCAUGCCGCGUGUGUGAAGAAGGCCUUCGGGUUGUAAAGCACUUUCAGUUGUGAGGAAAAGUUAGUAGUUAAUACCUGCUAGCCGUGACGUUAACAACAGAAGAAGCACCGGCUAACUCCGUGCCAGCAGCCGCGGUAAUACGGAGGGUGCGAGCGUUAAUCGGAAUUACUGGGCGUAAAGCGCACGCAGGCGGUUUGUUAAGCUAGAUGUGAAAGCCCCGGGCUCAACCUGGGAUGGUCAUUUAGAACUGGCAGACUAGAGUCUUGGAGAGGGGAGUGGAAUUCCAGGUGUAGCGGUGAAAUGCGUAGAUAUCUGGAGGAACAUCAGUGGCGAAGGCGACUCCCUGGCCAAAGACUGACGCUCAUGUGCGAAAGUGUGGGUAGCGAACAGGAUUAGAUACCCUGGUAGUCCACACCGUAAACGCUGUCUACUAGCUGUGUGUGUCUUUAAGACGUGCGUAGCGAAGCUAAACGCGCUAAGUAGACCGCCUGGGGGAGUACGGCCCGCAAGGUAUAAAAACUCAAAUGAAUAUGACGGGGGCCCGCACAAGCGG